GGAAUAAGACAUUUGUGACAUGAUGUCAAAUGGUCACCCACUGCACUAUUAUGUGACCUUUCAAACCUCUUAGUGCCUAAUUCAUUGUGAUACAUUGCCGUUAUUUUCACUCAUAUUAUCUUCCCCAACGCCCUCUCAGACACUCAAGAAUUACAUAUUUUACUUCAUUCUUGUUCAAACAAACUCAUCACUCAUCAGGUUAAAAGCUAUGGCGAUGAGGGGUUUUGAAAGGCUGAUGGUGAAUUUGAAGUCGAAGCUAAUUAGGUCUAUGAAAAUGAAGAAAACUAAUUAUGACAAGAUUGAGAAGAGUGAAAGCAUGAGAUUUGAAAUCAGGAGCAGAAAGGCUCGAAAGCUCAUUGAAGAAACUCUCAAAAUCGCAGAUUCUCCUAAAACCAGAAGCUAUGCUCUCUGAUGCUAUACAACGGAAAACUCAAGUGCAUAUUUAGUACGCAACAACAUUAGUGUAGAUUGAAUAGUGUAAUAAAGGAGGUUUGGGUUUCAUAACACUGAUUUUGUCGAUUUUAUACUGUUCUUCUUCUUCUUCU